rnacentral:rRNA from 1 species
UACGUAGGGACCAAGCGUUGUUCGGAUUUACUGGGCGUAAAGGGCGCGUAGGCGGCGUGUUAAGUCACUUGUGAAAUCUCUAAGCUUAACUUAGAACGGUCAAGUGAUACUGAUGUGCUAGAGUGCAGAAGGGGCAACCGGAAUUCUUGGUGUAGCGGUGAAAUGCGUAGAUAUCAAGAGGAACACCUGAGGUGAAGACGGGUUGCUGGGCUGACACUGACGCUGAGGCGCGAAAGCCAGGGGAGCAAACGGG